CCAAUUCAUCUCUCUCUCUCUUCCUCGUUUCUUCUUCCUCUCUGGAGAAUCACGCACACACACCAAACUGGGUAUUUUCUUUCUUUGCUCAUAUUUUCUUCACCAGCAAUGUGAAUCAACUAGCCAUAGCUUCCAUUUCCAAGCUCUCGGCCUCAGCUUCUGCUAAUUCUGCAACUAGCUUCAGCAGAUCUUCACAGCAGCAGCAACCUAACUGGGUGACACCUCCAUCCCUGAAUAGAAAAACGAUGCAGCCCACGAAGAAAUCGAGAGGUUCCGUUGACAAUCAGAAAUCGGCAUCCAGAAGUCGACAAUCAAAAAUGAAAAAUCGAGCCGCCGCCCAUGAAGGAAUGGUUUUUUGCUGCUGAACUGAAUGCUUUGGCGAUGGCGGUUGAAGUUAAGGUCGAUAGAGAUUCGAUCCCCAAUUUUUGGUCCGGAGAAUUGAUGGCAAUUGUAGGAUCUUGAUUUGAUAUUCAGUUGGAAUCAUGGCAAUUGAUGGCAAUCGUGGCAAUUGUGGCAAAUUGGCAAUUGAUUACGUGAAAUGGUUG
rnacentral:lncRNA from 1 species